UACGUAGGGUGCAAGCGUUAAUCGGAAUUACUGGGCGUAAAGCGUGCGCAGGCGGUUCUAUAAGACAGAUGUGAAAUCCCCGGGCUCAACCUGGGAACUGCAUUUGUGACUGCAUUGCUGGAGUGCGGCAGAGGGGGAUGGAAUUCCGCGUGUAGCAGUGAAAUGCGUAGAUAUGCGGAGGAACACCGAUGGCGAAGGCAAUCCCCUGGGCCUGCACUGACGCUCAUGCACGAAAGCGUGGGGAGCAAACAGG
rnacentral:rRNA from 1 species